rnacentral:rRNA from 1 species
GCAUUAUACAGCGAAACUGCGAAUGGCUCAUUAUAUAAGUUAUCGUUUAUUUGAUAGUACCUUACUACUUGGAUAACCGUGGUAAUUCUAGAGCUAAUACAUGCUGAAAAUCCCGACUUCGGAAGGGAUGUAUUUAUUAGAUUCAAAACCAAUGCCCUCUGGGCUCACUGGUGAUUCAUGAUAACUCUUCGAAUCGCAUGGCCUUGCGCCGGCGAUGGUUCAUUCAAAUUUCUUCCCUAUCAACUUUCGAUGUUUGGGUAGUGGCCAAACAUGGUUGCAACGGGUAACGGAGGGUUAGGGCUCGACCCCGGAGAAGGAGCCUGAGAAACGGCUACUACAUCCAAGGAAGGCAGCAGGCGCGCAAAUUACCCAAUCCCGACACGGGGAGGUAGUGACAAUAAAUACUGAUACAGGGCUCUUUUGGGUCUUGUAAUUGGAAUGAGUACAAUUUAAAUCCCUUAACGAGGAACAAUUGGAGGGCAAGUCUGGUGCCAGCAGCCGCGGUAAUUCCAGCUCCAAUAGCGUAUAUUAAAGUUGUUGUGGUUAAAAAGCUCGUAGUUGAACCUUGGGCCUGGCUGGCCGGUCCGCCUCACCGCGUGUACUGGUCCGGCCGGGCCUUUCCCUCUGUGGAACCCCAUGCCCUUCACUGGGUGUGGCGGGGAAACAGGACUUUUACUUUGAAAAAAUUAGAGUGCUCCAGGCAGGCCUAUGCUCGAAUACAUUAGCAUGGAAUAAUGAAAUAGGACGCGCGGUUCUAUUUUGUUGGUUUCUAGGACCGCCGUAAUGAUUAAUAGGGACAGUCGGGGGCAUCAGUAUUCAAUUGUCAGAGGUGAAAUUCUUGGAUUUAUUGAAGACUAACUACUGCGAAAGCAUUUGCCAAGGAUGUUUUCAUUAAUCAGGAACGAAAGUUAGGGGAUCGAAGACGAUCAGAUACCGUCGUAGUCUUAACCAUAAACUAUGCCGACUAGGGAUCGGACGAUGUUAUUUUUUGACUCGUUCGGCACCUUACGAGAAAUCAAAGUGCUU